AUUGGAAACCACGCGUAGAGUGUAAAGGCAUAAGGGAGCUUGACUGCAAGACAGACAUGUCGAGCAGGUGCGAAAGCAGGGCUUAGUGAUCUUGCGAUUCCGUGUGGAAGGGUCGUAACUCAACGGAUAAAAGGUACUCCGGGGAUAACAGGCUUAUCGCGCCCAAGCGCUCACAGCGACGGCGCGGUUUGGCACCUCGAUGUCGGCUCAUCACAUCCUGGGGCUGCAGCUGGUCCCAAGGGUUGGGCUGUUCGCCCAUUAAAGUGGUACGUGAGCUGGGUUUAGAACGUCGUAAGACAGUUCGGUCCCUAUCUUUUACGGGCGUAGGAAAUUUGAGUGGAGCUGCCGCUAGUAUGAGAAGACCGUGGUGGACGAACCUCUGGUGCACCAGUUGUCACGCCUGUGGCAUCGCUGGGUAGCUAUGUUCGGAAAGGAUAAAUGCUGAAAGCAUCUAAGCAUGAAGCCUUCCUCAAGAUAAGAUUUCCCACAGAGUUAAUCUGGUAAGACCCCUUGUAGAUAACGAGGUUGAUAGGCCAAAUGUGUAAGCGCGGUGACGUGUUUAGCUAACUGGUACUAAUUGGUCGAGGGCUUAACUUAUUU
rnacentral:rRNA from 1 species